CCACCUGAUCAGUUAUAUAAGGAGGUGUCGCUGCUGUCCUGAACAGACGUCUCACCGUCAGCACCACCACCAUGAUGAUGAGACUCGCCACCUUGCUGGUUCUGCUGUGCCUGUGCUUGAUGGCGAUGGCUUCUAUAUCUGACUCUCCAGGUGACGCUGAAGAGAAAUCACUCAAAGCUGUAAGAUCUGCGGCUUUCAGUUCACGUGGAGGAAUGCUAGCCGGAGCUCAACCUAGAGGUUGAUCUUUCAGGACUUCAAGUUGACCAAAAGGACCAACCCAGACCAAUCAUUACCAAGAAAGAAGAAGUCAAGAAAUGUUCAGUAAUUUAAAAUAAAAACAAAUGUAAUGCAGCAAA